AUGAAGCAGGCAGCGAUCUCCCACAAGCUCAAACCCGAGUUGGUCGAGCCACCUCCCGACAGCGAUCUGCAGCAGGACCGUGCCACAAGCAGAAACUCCACCAUAACAAUGGCGUCGCCCCAUGUAUCUCAGAACUGCCGCCGUCACGCCAUCAUCAUUUGCCAGAAACUUCACCGACGCCCGUCGUCACGACCCUGCAUGCAGGUCAAUAGGAGCAUCUCCCCGCACUGGCCUCGACCGCCUCUCAUCGUCUCUGCACUCUUUGCUGCUACAUCAGAGGGAUCCAGUGGUGGAUUGCAGGAGGAAGGUGGGGGACGUGGUGGAGUAGCUGGGCCAGCGGUGGUCCUCCGGGCCGAUGGUGGGGUAGACGACGCGGCGCGCUGGUCCAAACCAUCUGAGAGGGAGCGCGGGGAUCGGUUCAUUGUCCAUCGCGAGCGGACCUGGUAUUCCGCUGGUUUGUACGUUGACCCGGUGCCCAGUGCUGCGCUGCCACCGACACCGCCCUGCUUCCUCCGGACAGAGGAGUGGCCGGACUAG
rnacentral:rRNA from 1 species